CAGCAGCCGCGGGAAUACGUAUGUCGCGAGCGUUAUCCGGAAUUAUUGGGCAUAAAGGGCAUCUAGGCGGCCGGAUAAGUCUGGGGUGAAAACUUGCGGCUCAACCGCAAGCCUGCCCUGGAGACUAUGCGGCUAGAGUACUGGAGAGGUGGACGGAACUGCACGAGUAGAGGUGAAAUUCGUAGAUAUGUGCAGGAAUGCCGAUGAUGAAGAUAGUUCACUGGACGGUAACUGACGCUGAAGUGCGAAAGCUAGGGGAGCAAACAGGAUUAGAGACCCCCGUAGUCCCUGUCUCUUAUAC
rnacentral:rRNA from 1 species